rnacentral:lncRNA from 1 species
UGUUGGUUUACUGAUUAAGCUUUUGUAUUUUGUUUGGUCCUGUGUUCGAGUUUCGGAGUAUGCAAUGGGGAACAUUUUUGCUAAAUGCUAAGAAUCUGAUUGGUAGUUAAUUGGGAUAUAACAUUAGUUAUUCUUCUUCUAUUUUCUUUUCUUCUUCUUCUUUACUUUUCUUUUCUUUUGUGAUUUUUUUUUCUUCUUUCUUCUUUAUUUUGAUUACUAUCGUAAGUGAAUACGGGACUAGUUAAAGUUUUACGCUAUUAGUUUCGUUGAUCGAAGGGUUACUAAGUAAGUUUCAUUGUCAAUUCGUUUAUUUUCGCGGUUUUUCCUUUUGUUCUUCGUAACAUGUUCUGAAUUGGGUGUUUCGAAUGUAUCAUGUAAUUUUCUAAUAGUCAAUCGUUUGGUUUCCCUAUUAGGUAAGGAUAUCGGAAGU